rnacentral:misc_RNA from 1 species
UAAUAUUGUAUCUAACUCGUCAUAAUGUUAAUACAUACCAGCACAUAGUUACAUAUAUCUACGUACCACUACAUAUAAACGUGUGUAAAAUGUAACAUAAUCUUUCUAUACACAUUUCGUACACUAUUAUAUGUCAUAUGGUUUGGAACAAUAAUGUACAUUUGCGUGAGAAGCAUAUUUUAAUAAAAAGUUCCAUGUUUCGAUAUCAAGAAAAAGCGCGCUUUUAUCGGUGAAGUUCGUGACCACUCGGCUAAGAUCGGAUCGAGUCGUUUAUGAUUGGUUGUCGGAUUCGAGUCAGCGAAACGUGAAUCAGUCAGCGUUGACGGAACGAAGGAUCAAGUUCGACUGGAAUCAUUGUGGAAACAGAAGAUUUGUCGGUGCGUGUCGCCGGUGAAUGAAGCGGGCUAAUUAUUACGUGCGAUGGCCGCGUGCUAUAGCGAGCAGGCAGCAUCCACUUCAGGAAACGUAACGAAAAAGUCGCCUGCGGCCGCCGCGAAACCAGUCUGCUGGCAACACAGGCUGUUCGGUAAACAACUGUCGCGGUGCAGUCAGGUUAAUCAGCAAGAAACAAAACCGUGCGAUGCAAGUGGUACUAUCGUUGACGACGAUGGCCAGCCGACUUGUGAGGUGAUCGGUGUGUACUUUAGUUUUAUUAACCCCGGUGCUACCUGCGAUGACUUUACGCGUCAGCUGCUCGACCUUUACGCGAGUGUCAAUUCGUCGCACGCGGAAAAUGACCGAGAUGCUGAGAGUUCUGGCAGAGGAAGGGAAAGGAGGAAAAGGUUCGAGGUCGUGCACGUGGUUCUCUGGAGUAACGUAGCCGAUGUCCUCGACUUUGAAGAGAGUUUUCGUGCACACGUUUCGGAAUUACCCUGGUUAGCGGUACCGAACCUAGAUUACGAAAGAAAGGUGAUGGUGCAAGGACGAGACGGGGAAACGAGCAAGCAGGAGCGAUGGAGAAGCAGCGUGGUAGGGGACAUACAGACCACCGGGGGAAAUAACGAUAGCACCGUCGAGCGAGCGGCAGCAACGCCAAGGGAGGACGUACGCGUUAUCGACCGCCCCAGACGGAGACGGCAAACGAACACCAGACUGACUCGAAGGUAUCGAAUAAAGGCUGGCGUACCGACUUUGAUUUUAUUGGACGGUUCUAACGGUUCGAUAAUAACGAGAGGAGGUGUAGAACGAACGAUCGGUGAUCCUGGUGGAGCUGAAUUCCCUUGGAAGCCACCUCAUCCGAAAGCUGCUCUCGAGGAUGGACCUUUAUUGCCAUGCGGAGCUCGCGAUAGCAACGAACCCAUGUUGCACGAGGAGUUGAGGCACUGUUUUAAGGGUGUUUACUUUAGCGCGCAUUGGUGUCCACCUUGCAAAGCGUUUACCCCACAACUUGUGGAUACCUAUCAACGAAUUCGGGAGAGAGGUCAUGAUUUCGAGGUGAUUUUUGUGAGUUCUGAUAGGAGCGAAGAGUCUUAUAACGUUUAUAUUGAAACAAUGCCUUGGUUGAGGAUACCUUUUACUCAGGAAGAGAGACGAAAAAAAUUAGCAAGAGCUCUCGAUGUACAAGCAAUACCCACUUUAGUGAUACUCGAUCCUCGGGAUAAUAUUAUCACAUUAGACGGACGGGCAGAGUUGAUCGAGGAUCCCGAGGGACUGGUAAAACAAAAGAAUUGUUUUUAUAAUACACUUUGUCUUUGAAUUAUUUCAUAAAUGAUUACGAAGUAAUUCAAUUAACAUGCAGUUGUAAAGUAUAGUAUAGAACUGUGAAUUUCAAGUUAAGAGAAUUUCCCAUGGACCAGUCGUUUGGUAAAUAUUUUAACCGAAAAGUAUGCCACCUCGUUGCACGACGCGCCGGCGAUUAUACUGUUUG